UCAAGUCAGCAUGGCCCUUACGCCUGGGGCGACACACACGCUACAAUGGCCGGUACAAAGGGCUGCGAAGCCGUGAGGUGGAGCGAAUCCCUGCAAAGCCGGUCUCAGUUCGGAUCGGGGUCUGCAACUCGACCCCGUGAAGUCGGAGUCGCUAGUAAUCGCAGAUCAGCAACGCUGCGGUGAAUACGUUCCCGGGCCUU
rnacentral:rRNA from 1 species